GGGCCUGUAGCUUAGAGGGUUAGAGCACGUGGCUACGAAUCACAGUGUCGGGGGUUCGAAUCCCUCCUUGCCCA
rnacentral:tRNA from 1 species